rfam:Heligmosomoides polygyrus genome assembly, scaffold: HPBE_scaffold0011060
GCGCCGGUGGUGUAGGGCGGACAGCGCUGCCCGGAAAGCAGAAGAUGCGGGUUCGAGUCCCGCCUGGCGCA